GCAGAAUUCCUUUCCCCUCUGGGCGAUACUAAUUACUCCCUGCAGAUGUUGUUAUUGGUGCUAAUGAUAAAAUGCAGAAAAAAGGAUCCGGGGACAGAUGUUGUGUGCGCCAGAGUCCAGAGGGAACACUCAACAGACCACUUCAGUCUCCCUUUACAAUGUGGAAAAAGUGCGCCACUGUCAUCUUCACAGCACAGCUGCGCCCCUCAGAUCCCCUGCACAGGAGAGGCUCAGCAGCUGCAGGACCUACUACAGCCCUGAUGUUGCUGGAGCAGCUCUGCAGCCAGCGGGGAGAAGAUUCUGUUCCCCUCAACUCCCAUGGACCCCCCCAUCACACAACCCGCUUUCUGCUUGUACACUGGGUCCAAGGUCGGAACUGAAACGUAUUAAUAAUCAUUCAUCUCCCCUAUCCAAUGCCCCAUUACCUCGAAACAGACAAAACACUUCCAUUUGUAUUAUAAAGAGGCCACCAUCUGGGCCACCUCACCACAUACACACGGAAUCCUUCCGCCACCAUCUGGUCCACCUCACCACAUACACACGGAAUCCUUCCACCACCGUCUGGGCCACCUCACCACAUACACACGGAAUCCUUCCACCACCGUCUGGGCCACCUCACCACAUACACACGGAAUCCUUCCACCACCGUCUGGGCCACCUCACCACAUACACACGGAAUCCUUCCACCACCGUCUGGGCCACCUCACCACAUACACACCACAACCGUCUGCCUGCUUCUUCUUCAGCAUCAAUGGCAGCUCUUCCUCCAGCCUAGUUACAAUGUCCCUUCCCUCAUGCUGGUGAAACAAUGCUGCUCUGAUUGCUUCCAUUUCCCAGGUGCUGAUGGUCACACGCAGUUGAACUGUCACAGGGAAAGAAAAAGUGCCAGUGUGUGGACUGUCCUCAGCUCAGACAAAGUUCCUAUCUGCUGAAAUUUGCCAUCUGCCCUAUACAUUAGCAGAUAUGUAAAGAUAUAGAUGUAGGCAUGUCCUCGGUGGCUACAUGCAAUGUUUGGAACCACAGGUCGUCUGCAGGGCUAGAACCUAUAGACUUCAGCACUACAGCACAGACUACUACCUCUUGAGCUAACAGAAUAACUCUGUCACCUUCAGAAGUAAUUGGCUGUUAUCUUCCAUGCUAGCCAUGAGACAGGGAUGUGCCACCUUACAUGGGAGUUACAUAUUCAUCUGAAGACUCUGUUGGCAGUGGGCUAGAUUCUGUUCUCACUUCCACCAAUGUAAAUGUGAACUCUGUUACACUAGUGCAAAUCCACCGUAAGCGAGGGAAGCAAUUAACUCCAGUGAGUUAUUCCUGGCAAGGUCAGGACUCAGUUAAACACAAUUAGGAAUAUGGGAAAAUUGCACAGAUCAGUUAGGUUUUUCAGACAUCCCUUUGGGCUGGUCUACACACAGUUUUUGUACCACUUCAACUAUAUUGUUAAAGUGGUCUAAUCCCCUAGUGAGGACACAGUUUUACUUACUGUACAUUUGCAGAAACAAGCUAGACCCAUACAGGCCCCUUUAAUACCAGCAUUAGUCACUUUUUGGAGACAUCUAUGUGGAAAUCUGGCAGCAGAUUUUCACCCAAAAUGCCAUCAAGGAAAAUAAAGAUAUAAAAUGAUCUGAAACCCCAUCCAAGACAUUUUAGCUGGCCAAUAUUUUGCUUUGGCAUUUGAAUUUUUAGAAGUGGCCCACCUAAUAAAGAUUUUCACAGCUAUACUGUACGUUUUUAUUUUAAAACUUAAAAUCUGUUUAACUUCCAAUAAUUUAGCAAACUACUCACACGCAUUUCAACUUAUUUCUACUUAAAUACAUCUAGCAAAGGUGACCAGAUGCUUUGUGUUUUUAAUGGCUUGUUCUAUGUCCCAACAAAAUUUCCCAGUUUUGGCUGCAUUCGCAGAUGACUCAUUUUGAAACCCUGCCCAGCUGCCCUGACACAGACGAGGCAUGGCACAGUUAAAAAAACAGACCAUCUGUGCAAGAGAAGUGGGUAGAGGGAGUUCUUUGCCAGGAAAAGGUCCUGCCAUUUCUUGGUC